UGCAUUAGCUAGUUGGUAAGGUAACGGCUUACCAAGGCGAUGAUGCAUAGCCGAGUUGAGAGACUGAUCGGCCACAAUGGAACUGAGACACGGUCCAUACUCCUACGGGAGGCAGCAGUAGGGAAUCUUCCACAAUGGGCGCAAGCCUGAUGGAGCAACACCGCGUGAGUGAAGAAGGGUUUCGGCUCGUAAAGCUCUGUUGUUGGAGAAGAACGUGCGUGAGAGUAACUGUUCACGCAGUGACGGUAUCCAACCAGAAAGUCACGGCUAACUACGUGCCAGCAGCCGCGGUAAUACGUAGGUGGCAAGCGUUAUCCGGAUUUAUUGGGCGUAAAGCGAGCGCAGGCGGUUGCUUAGGUCUGAUGUGAAAGCCUUCGGCUUAACCGAAGAAGUGCAUCGGAAACCGGGCGACUUGAGUGCAGAAGAGGACAGUGGAACUCCAUGUGUAGCGGUGGAAUGCGUAGAUAUAUGGAAGAACACCAGUGGCGAAGGCGGCUGUCUGGUCUGCAACUGACGCUGAGGCUCGAAAGCAUGGGUAGCGAACAGGAUUAGAUACCCUGGUAGUCCAUGCCGUAAACGAUGAGUGCUAGGUGUUGGAGGGUUUCCGCC
rnacentral:rRNA from 1 species